GGUUAAGCGACUAAGCGUACACGGUGGAUGCCCUGGCAGUCAGAGGCGAUGAAGGACGUGCUAAUCUGCGAUAAGCGUCGGUAAGGUGAUAUGAACCGUUAUAACCGGCGAUUUCCGAAUGGGGAAACCCAGUGUGUUUCGACACACUAUCAUUAACUGAAUCCAUAGGUUAAUGAGGCGAACCGGGGGAACUGAAACAUCUAAGUACCCCGAGGAAAAGAAAUCAACCGAGAUUCCCCCAGUAGCGGCGAGCGAACGGGGAGGAGCCCAGAGCCUGAAUCAGUGUGUGUGUUAGUGGAAGCGUCUGGAAAGGCGCGCGAUACAGGGUGACAGCCCCGUACACAAAAAUGCACAUAUUGUGAGCUCGAUGAGUAGGGCGGGACACGUGGUAUCCUGUCUGAAUAUGGGGGGACCAUCCUCCAAGGCUAAAUACUCCUGACUGACCGAUAGUGAACCAGUACCGUGAGGGAAAGGCGAAAAGAACCCCGGCGAGGGGAGUGAAAAAGAACCUGAAACCGUGUACGUACAAGCAGUGGGAGCCUCUUUUAUGGGGUGACUGCGUACCUUUUGUAUAAUGGGUCAGCGACUUAUAUUCUGUAGCAAGGUUAACCGAAUAGGGGAGCCGAAGGGAAACCGAGUCUUAACUGGGCGUUAAGUUGCAGGGUAUAGACCCGAAACCCGGUGAUCUAGCCAUGGGCAGGUUGAAGGUUGGGUAACACUAACUGGAGGACCGAACCGACUAAUGUUGAAAAAUUAGCGGAUGACUUGUGGCUGGGGGUGAAAGGCCAAUCAAACCGGGAGAUAGCUGGUUCUCCCCGAAAGCUAUUUAGGUAGCGCCUCGUGAAUUCAUCUCCGGGGGUAGAGCACUGUUUCGGCAAGGGGGUCAUCCCGACUUACCAACCCGAUGCAAACUGCGAAUACCGGAGAAUGUUAUCACGGGAGACACACGGCGGGUGCUAACGUCCGUCGUGAAGAGGGAAACAACCCAGACCGCCAGCUAAGGUCCCAAAGUCAUGGUUAAGUGGGAAACGAUGUGGGAAGGCCCAGACAGCCAGGAUGUUGGCUUAGAAGCAGCCAUCAUUUAAAGAAAGCGUAAUAGCUCACUGGUCGAGUCGGCCUGCGCGGAAGAUGUAACGGGGCUAAACCAUGCACCGAAGCUGCGGCAGCGACACUAUGUGUUGUUGGGUAGGGGAGCGUUCUGUAAGCCUGUGAAGGUGUGCUGUGAGGCAUGCUGGAGGUAUCAGAAGUGCGAAUGCUGACAUAAGUAACGAUAAAGCGGGUGAAAAGCCCGCUCGCCGGAAGACCAAGGGUUCCUGUCCAACGUUAAUCGGGGCAGGGUGAGUCGACCCCUAAGGCGAGGCCGAAAGGCGUAGUCGAUGGGAAACAGGUUAAUAUUCCUGUACUUGGUGUUACUGCGAAGGGGGGACGGAGAAGGCUAUGUUGGCCGGGCGACGGUUGUCCCGGUUUAAGCGUGUAGGCUGGUUUUCCAGGCAAAUCCGGAAAAUCAAGGCUGAGGCGUGAUGACGAGGCACUACGGUGCUGAAGCAACAAAUGCCCUGCUUCCAGGAAAAGCCUCUAAGCAUCAGGUAACAUCAAAUCGUACCCCAAACCGACACAGGUGGUCAGGUAGAGAAUACCAAGGCGCUUGAGAGAACUCGGGUGAAGGAACUAGGCAAAAUGGUGCCGUAACUUCGGGAGAAGGCACGCUGAUAUGUAGGUGAAGUCCCUCGCGGAUGGAGCUGAAAUCAGUCGAAGAUACCAGCUGGCUGCAACUGUUUAUUAAAAACACAGCACUGUGCAAACACGAAAGUGGACGUAUACGGUGUGACGCCUGCCCGGUGCCGGAAGGUUAAUUGAUGGGGUCAGCGCAAGCGAAGCUCUUGAUCGAAGCCCCGGUAAACGGCGGCCGUAACUAUAACGGUCCUAAGGUAGCGAAAUUCCUUGUCGGGUAAGUUCCGACCUGCACGAAUGGCGUAAUGAUGGCCAGGCUGUCUCCACCCGAGACUCAGUGAAAUUGAACUCGCUGUGAAGAUGCAGUGUACCCGCGGCAAGACGGAAAGACCCCGUGAACCUUUACUAUAGCUUGACACUGAACAUUGAGCCUUGAUGUGUAGGAUAGGUGGGAGGCUUAGAAGUGUGGACGCCAGUCUGCAUGGAGCCGACCUUGAAAUACCACCCUUUAAUGUUUGAUGUUCUAACGUGGACCCGUGAUCCGGGUUGCGGACAGUGUCUGGUGGGUAGUUUGACUGGGGCGGUCUCCUCCUAAAGAGUAACGGAGGAGCACGAAGGUUGGCUAAUCCUGGUCGGACAUCAGGAGGUUAGUGCAAUGGCAUAAGCCAGCUUGACUGCGAGCGUGACGGGGCGAGCAGGUGCGAAAGCAGGUCAUAGUGAUCCGGUGGUUCUGAAUGGAAGGGCCAUCGCUCAACGGAUAAAAGGUACUCCGGGGAUAACAGGCUGAUACCGCCCAAGAGUUCAUAUCGACGGCGGUGUUUGGCACCUCGAUGUCGGCUCAUCACAUCCUGGGGCUGAAGUAGGUCCCAAGGGUAUGGCUGUUCGCCAUUUAAAGUGGUACGCGAGCUGGGUUUAGAACGUCGUGAGACAGUUCGGUCCCUAUCUGCCGUGGGCGCUGGAGAACUGAGGGGGGCUGCUCCUAGUACGAGAGGACCGGAGUGGACGCAUCACUGGUGUUCGGGUUGUCAUGCCAAUGGCACUGCCCGGUAGCUAAAUGCGGAAGAGAUAAGUGCUGAAAGCAUCUAAGCACGAAACUUGCCCCGAGAUGAGUUCUCCCUGACCCUUUAAGGGUCCUGAAGGAACGUUGAAGACGACGACGUUGAUAGGCCGGGUGUGUAAGCGCAGCGAUGCGUUGAGCUAACCGGUACUAAUGAACCGUGAGGCUUAACCUU
rnacentral:rRNA from 1 species